CGCCCGCCCGGGCCGAGGCCGCGCCUCGAGCGGCGCGGGGCCGCCGUCCCGCUCCUGCCGGCGCCAACUUUUGGGAGCGCGAGCCGAGCGCGGAGCCUUCCCCCGGAGCGCCCGCCCGCCAGCCGAGGCGCCGGGGUGCAGACCCACAGCCAGUUAAGCGUUUGCAGCCUCCACGCAGAGCAGAGGUUAUUCACAUGGCUGUUCGAGAAACUCCAUUCAUAUAUCUGACUACCUGGAUUUGAAUAGAAACCAGACAGCAAUUCUUUCGCCCCAGCCACCAUUCGCCCCGCUGGACAAUAGAGAUUUGUUAGCACACAGGCACAAGCCCUGGGACACAAAGCUGGAGGCAGCAGAGAUGGGGGGCUUCAGUGCACAGGAAAUUACAGCUUUUGAUGCACUGUUGGCAGGUCUGCCGGUUCAGAAAAGCAACAUGACUGUGCCAUGUUUAAGAGCUCCUUACUGCCAUUUUUAACCACCUAGAAUGUCAUAAAAGCUUUAUUGUCACAGUACAUAAAAUCAUGGAGUCCAUAUGGUUACUUUUCAGCUGUGGUCACUGCCCCGUGUCUGGAAGGCAGAAGCAUGAUCUGGCUGGAGAUUUUAAUUCACAGGGAUGGGGAGGGGCGGAAUUAAAGGAAUCUGAGGACAGAAAACCUCAAAGUGUUUAUAAAAGGCAGAUAUUGGUUACUGAGGCAGCUGGUGUCUAGCCUGAGAUGUGUAGUUGUUAUAAUGGACUUCAUUUUAAUGGUGGCUCUAAGGGGAUGAGGCUGGUUCAUCGUGAAAGGUUCAGUAAAUUCACUCCAUGCGUGCCCUGUAUCAGUUGUGCAGGAGGGACAUUACUCAGUUGUGUCAACUUGGCAAAUACCAAAAUAAAUCAGAACAACGAAAUCCAAA